GCCAUGGCUGUUUAAAGUGGUAUCACAAUGUAUGAUUGUGGCCUUAAAAGAGACUCUUAAUCUCAGGGUUGUGGGUUGAAGCCCCACGUUGGGCA